rnacentral:rRNA from 1 species
UACGAAGGGGGCUAGCGUUGCUCGGAAUCACUGGGCGUAAAGCGCACGUAGGCGGAUUGUUAAGUCAGGGGUGAAAUCCUGGAGCUCAACUCCAGAACUGCUUUUGAUACUGGCGAUCUUGAGUCCGGGAGAGGUGAGUGGAACUGCGAGUGUAGAGGUGAAAUUCGUAGAUAUUCGCAAGAACACCAGUGGCGAAGGCGGCUCACUGGCCCGGUACUGACGCUGAGGUGCGAAAGCGUGGGGAGCAAACAGG